GAUGAACGCUGGCGGCGUGCCUAAUACAUGCAAGUCGAGCGAACAGACGAGGAGCUUGCUCCUUCGACGUUAGCGGCGGACGGGUGAGUAACACGUAGGUAACCUACCUAUAAGACUGGGAUAACUUCGGGAAACCGGAGCUAAUACCGGAUAAUAUUUCGAACCGCAUGGUUCGAUAGUGAAAGAUGGCUUUGCUAUCACUUAUAGAUGGACCUGCGCCGUAUUAGCUAGUUGGUAAGGUAACGGCUUACCAAGGCAACGAUACGUAGCCGACCUGAGAGGGUGAUCGGCCACACUGGAACUGAGACACGGUCCAGACUCCUACGGGAGGCAGCAGUAGGGAAUCUUCCGCAAUGGGCGAAAGCCUGACGGAGCAACGCCGCGUGAGUGAUGAAGGUCUUCGGAUCGUAAAACUCUGUUAUUAGGGAAGAACAAACGUGUAAGUAACUGUGCACGUCUUGACGGUACCUAAUCAGAAAGCCACGGCUAACUAC
rnacentral:rRNA from 1 species